AGAGCAGGCUGAACACAUUGCAGCAACCCAGAGGCAGCUCUGAGCCUUCUAUCAAUGGAGAUGUUAGAGCCACAACCCUCUCCACAGGCUCUGGACUUUGUGGCAACAUUGUAACUAGGUAACAUUUACGCAGCUGGGAGUGCUGAUCAACCAGCCAGCGCCAACUUCCUGUGCCCCCAGAGAAAUGAUCAAACUCCCUGGUUACUCUUUACUGUCAACGUGACACGAUCAAGAAUCACCUCAGGAGAGACAUUGACGGAAGAACUGUUUAGAUCGGGUUGGCCUGACUGAUGAUUGACGUGGAAAGCCUAACCCACAUUGUAGAAAAUCAACCUGAGGCACACAAGAAAGGUAGGUUGAGCACAAGUUGGGGAGCAAACCAGUAAGUGGAAUUUCUCCAUGGUUUCUGCUUCAAGUUCCUUCUCUGCUUGAGUUUCUGCCUUAGAAAGUGUAAGCCAAAUAAACCUCAAGUUGCUUUUGGUCAUGGUAUUCAUCACAGUAACAGAAAACAAACUAGAGAAUGAAAUAUACAAGAACCUGGCACACAAGAGAGGCUAGAUAACUGUAGGGAGUUUUAUCCGUGAUCCACUAUGGUUCUAACACAUCGUUAUUAUUUUUCCCUUUUUAAAGAACAAUAUAUCAAAAGCGGGCUUUAAAAGACUUAAGGAUGUCUAGGUUGUAUUAGUAACUCUUGUGUGAGUGUGAUCAGAACGCCUGAUGAGGGAAGAUUGGUUUUGGCUCAUGGGCUCCGUCUACCAUGGUGGAGAACACUUGGCACAGUAGUGGUCUAGGUCCAGGCAGUGGAAGCACGUGCUGGAAGCUGCUCACAUCAUAGCUGACUAGGGAGCCGAGAGAGUGACAGGAAUCAGGACCCAGGAGAACUCUUUGAAGCCCAACCCCCAGUGAGCUGCUGCAGCCAGCUGGGGCCACCCUUUCCUAAAAGUUUUACAGCUCCCCCAGUAACACCAUAGUCUGGGGAGCAUGGGCUCAAGACAUGAACCUGUGGGGACAAUUCAGAUCCAAACCAUAACCAAUACGUUCUAAUUCAUGCACAGACCAUUGACAGUUCCCAAGAGCUGUCCUUCCUUCCUGAUAUCUGUCACCUUCAGAUAAAGGGCCAUGGCUAAAUCUACGAACAGUAAGGGAGACCUUCUUUCUCUUCCACUUUUCUCCUUUGCGUCAAGGGAGUCCACAAACAUACUGUGAACCCAAAUGAACGUGAAAUCUAAUAGGGUUUGGCUCCUGGGUGGAAUUAGACUAUUUUUAGAUGAACUAUUUAGAUGACUAUUUUUAAUAUUGUCCCCACCUGCUUUGCGUUCAUAUUUUCAAUGCUUCCCCGACGCUCCCAUUUGUCAAUAUUCUGUUUUAUUUCAUUCCAAGCUUCUGUUGAAAGUGUGACGUGAACAUGCAGUGCCUUUGGAGUCUUUUGUGUGACCAAUUUCUGGCCACAGGCCAACUCACUUAUUGGUGAAUCUGUUAAGGAUUUUAGCUUGCUAAUUAACUGUGCCAAACUUCCUGUUUUAAACAGCUCUCUUGUAUGCUACCCCCAAAGUAAGAUCAGAUGGGUUGGCCAGUGCUCCAUAAAGACGUCAAAACUU
rnacentral:lncRNA from 1 species